GUGGGGAAUCUUGCGCAAUGGGCGAAAGCCUGACGCAGCCAUGCCGCGUGAGUGAUGAAGGCCUUCGGGUUGUAAAGCUCUUUAGUCCACGAAUAUAAUGACUGUAGUGGAAGAAUAAGCCCCGGCUACUUCGUGCCAGCAGCCGCGGUAAUACGAAGGGGGCGAGCGUUAUUCGGAAUCACUGGGCGUAAAGCGUGCGUAGGCUGUUUUGUAAGUCAGAAGUGAAAGCCCAGGGCUUAACCCUGGAAUUGCUUUUGAAACUACAAGACUCGAAUUCGGGAGAGGAUAGCGGAAUUGUCAGUGUAGCAGUGAAAUGCGUAGAUAUUGACAGGAACACCAGUGGCGCAAGCGGCUAUCUGGACCGAUAUUGACGCUGAGGCACGAAAGCGUGGGGAGCAAACAGGAUUAGAAACCCCAGUAGUCC
rnacentral:rRNA from 1 species